rnacentral:rRNA from 1 species
UACGUAGGUGGCGAGCGUUAUCCGGAUUUACUGGGUGUAAAGGGCGUGUAGGCGGGUUUGCAAGUCGGGUGCGAAAGAUUCGGGCUUAACCCGGAGAGGUCAUCCGAAACUGCAGAUCUUGAGUGCUGGAGAGGAUAGUGGAAUUCCUGGUGUAGCGGUAAAAUGCGUAGAGAUCAGGAGGAACACCAGUGGCGAAGGCGGCUAUCUGGACAGUAACUGACGCUGAGGCGCGAAAGCGUGGGUAGCGAACCGGAUUAGAUACCCCGGUAGUCCCU